UACACUCCUGCGGGAGGCAGCAGUGAGGAAUAUUGGCCAAUGGGUGGAAGCCUGAUCCAGCCAUCCCGCGUGCAGGAAGACGGCCCUAUGGGUUGUAAACUGCUUUUAUCUGGGGAUAAACCUACUUACGUGUAAGUAGCUGAAGGUACCAGAAGAAUAAGCACCGGCUAACUCCGUGCCAGCAGCCGCGGUAAUACGGAGGGUGCAAGCGUUAUCCGGAUUUAUUGGGUUUAAAGGGUCCGUAGGCGGACUGAUAAGUCAGUGGUGAAAUCCGACAGCUUAACUGUCGAACUGCCAUUGAUACUGUUAGUCUUGAGUAAGGUUGAAGUGGCUGGAAUAAGUAGUGUAGCGGUGAAAUGCAUAGAUAUUACUUAGAACACCAAUUGCGAAGGCAGGUCACUAAGUCUUAACUGACGCUGAUGGACGAAAGCGUGGGGAGCGAACAGGAUUAGAAACCCCUGUAGUCCCAUGA
rnacentral:rRNA from 1 species